rnacentral:rRNA from 1 species
UACGUAGGGGGCGAGCGUUGUCCGGAUUUACUGGGCGUAAAGGGCACGCAGGCGGUGCGGCGCGUUUCGCGUGACAGCGGAGGGCUUAACUCUCCGAGGAUGCGAAAGACGGCGGCACUUGAGGGCCAGAGAGGGACACGGAAUUCCGGGUGGAGUGGUGAAAUGCGUAGAGAUCCGGAGGAACACCGAAGGCGAAGGCAGUGUCCUGGCUGGUGACUGACGCUGAGGUGCGAAAGCUAGGGGAGCGAACGGG